AACCCCCACCCAACACAGACUCAUAGUUCCCCUUCAUCUCAAUCUUCACAGCCAGCGUCCGUUAGCAAAAAUGGAGGAGAACGACGGUGCAGCGCACCCCGAUGGUGGACACAGCGAUAGAUCCAGUGAUAGGUGAAGUCCCCGUGGAUUAUAUCCUUUCCACAAACACGAGUUAGAUACCCUCGUUUCAAAACCCAAUCGACAUUGAUCUGGUCAAAGAAGAGAAUGACAGCAAACCAGCAGAAGACCCCGUGCUGCCGAUGCUACCGGCCACUGGAUGGAUAAGACGUUAGAGAAACAGAUAGGGUAAUCCUUUUCGGGCACCAGUGGAAGGACAUCAGAGUGCGAUAGAGCGUGCAAUUGAAGAAGCAACAAAACUUAGUAAAAGUUGUUUUUUAACCAACUGUUGGCAUGGUGUUCAAUUCUGAACAAGAGGCUUAUCAGUUUUACAACGCAUAUUCAUGGGAGAUUGGAUUCGGCAUCAGGCGGGGAAACAAAUACGUCAAUGAUCAGAAUUGCAAAUCAAAGCAAGACAUUCUCUGUUUCUGCAAGGGCAAGGAAACCAAUGUGUUACCUCCUGAACCUAAGAGAUCUAAGGGGAGGCCAAAAACAAAACGAUUGAGAUCUGCUAUAGAGAUAGCUGUUGAGAAGAAUAAAAGGAAGUGCUCUAUAUGUGGGUCUGACACCCAUGCCACUAAAUCAUGCCCGUGUAUUGGAAGUUGGAGCAGCUGACCCAAUGGAUUCAUACACUCCGGACAUGGUGUAUGGCGGGGAAGCGCAGACUCUUCAAGAGGAAGAUACUACACUUCAAGAUGUCGUUGACACCGCAGGGGAAAUUGAGCAUACACCAAGGCCAAGCAAGACAAGAAAAACAACCCCCCGGUGAACCCAAAUCACCGUCUGCUACACAAAGCUGCAAGAACUGUGGGGUACCCGGCCACUACAAGAGCACAUGCCCAACAUAUGAUGGUCCCAAGAAGCCACCUAAAGAGGUUACAUGCACAAAAUGUAAGCUCGGAGGUCACUACGAAACAACAUGCGGGGGGCAAACAACAUACAAGUGCAAGAAAUGAGUUUGUCAUCGGCAUGCACGUCACUUCAUCGAGAGGUAGAAUCAGGGGGCGACAUGUGCUUUGUCAAGUUAUGCACUUUCUUAUUGUCUGUUAUCAUUCAGAACUAAUUAUUUUUCUUCUCGACUCGUAAUGCUAUCUAAUUAAUGUUCGUUCUUAGGAACUAUUUAGCGGGAAUUAAGCUUUUUUACCAUGUACUUUUUUCAGUGGGAUAUUUGUAAUGCGAGAUUUCUU